rnacentral:rRNA from 6 species
CCCAGGUCAGGCGGGGCUACCCGCUGAAUUUAAGCAUAUCAAUAA